GACGAACUCUGACGGCGUGCUUAACACAUGCAAGUCGAAGGGAGUGGCGAACGGGUGAGUAACACGUGAGUAACCUGCCCUUUUCUUUGGGAUAAGCCUGGGAAACUGGGUCUAAUACUGGAUGGAUUGGGAUGGGCUCGCGGCUUAUCCGCUUGUUGGUGGGGUGAUGGCUUACCAAGGCUUUGACGGGUAGCCGGCCUGAGAGGGGGGUCGGUCACGCUGGGACUGAGAUACGGCCCAGACUCCUACGGGAGGCAGCAGUGGGGGAUAGUGCACAAUGGACGAAAGUCUGAUGCAGCGACGUCGUGUGGGGGAUGAAGGCCUUCGCGUUGUAAAAUACUUUCGCCGUCGGAGUGGUGGUGGGUAACGAAGCUCCGGCUAAAUACGUGCCCGCCGCCGCGGUAAUUC
rnacentral:rRNA from 1 species